rnacentral:rRNA from 1 species
CAGUCGCCGCGGUAAUACGUAGGGUGCAAGCGUUAAUCGGAAUUACUGGGCGUAAAGCGUGCGCAGGCGGUUAUAUAAGUCAGAUGUGAAAUCCCCGGGCUCGACCUGGGAACUGCAUUUGAGACUGUAUGGCUAGAGUGUGUCAGAGGGGGGUAGAAUUCCACGUGUAGCAGUGAAAUGCGUAGAUAUGUGGAGGAAUACCGAUGGCGAAGGCAGCCCCCUGGGAUAACACUGACGCUCAUGCACGAAAGCGUGGGGAGCAAACAGGAUUAGAUACCCGCGUAGUCCCUGUCUCUUAUAC